rnacentral:pre_miRNA from 14 species
UCGGGGUGAGGUAGUAGGUUGUGUGGUUUCAGGGCAGCGGUGUCGCCCCUCAGCAGAUAACUAUACAGCCUACUGCCUUCCCCGA